rnacentral:rRNA from 1 species
UCGGGAAUUUUGGGCAAUGGGCGAAAGCCUGACCCAGCAACGCCGCGUGAAGGAUGAAGUAUUUCGGUAUGUAAACUUCGAAAGAAUAGGAAGAAUAAAUGACGGUACUAUUUAUAAGGUCCGGCUAACUACGUGCCAGCAGCCGCGGUAAUACGUAGGGACCAAGCGUUGUUCGGAUUUACUGGGCGUAAAGGGCGCGUAGGCGGCAAUUCAAGUCAUCUGUGAAAUCUCCGGGCUUAACUCGGAACGGUCAGAUGAUACUGCUUUGCUAGAGUGCAGAAGGGGCAAUCGGAAUUCUUGGUGUAGCGGUGAAAUGCGUAGAUAUCGGAAGGAAUACCGGUGGCGAAGGCGUCUUCCUGGACUCUAACUGACACUGAGGCGCGAAAGCAUGGGGAUCAAACAGGAUUAGAUACCCUGGUAGUCCCUGAGCGGGCUGGCAAGGCGCAU